CCCAAUAAGCCAUAUUGGCUUGUCAAAGCCUAAUCUUGUCAGACCUCUUAAGCUUAGCGAGGCCGGGCCUGAUUAGUACUUGGAUGGGAGACCACAGAGAAAAUCAGGUGCUACAGUGGGG
rnacentral:rRNA from 1 species